rnacentral:rRNA from 1 species
GACGAACGCUGGCGGCGUGCCUAAUACAUGCAAGUUGAGCGCUUAAGGUUGGUACUUGUACCAACUGGAUGAGCAGCGAACGGGUGAGUAACGCGUGGGGAAUCUGCCUUUGAGCGGGGGACAACAUUUGGAAACGAAUGCUAAUACCGCAUAACAACUUUAAACACAAGUUUUAAGUUUGAAAGAUGCAAUUGCAUCACUCAAAGAUGAUCCCGCGUUGUAUUAGCUAGUUGGUGAGGUAAAGGCUCACCAAGGCGAUGAUACAUAGCCGACCUGAGAGGGUGAUCGGCCACAUUGGGACUGAGACACGGCCCAAACUCCUACGAGAGGCAGCAGUAGGGAAUCUUAGGCAAUGGACGAAAGUCUGACCGAGAAACGCCGCGAGAGUGAAGAAGGUUGUCGGAUCGUAAAACUCUGUUGGUAGAGAAGAACGUUGGUGAGAGUGGAAAGCUCAUCAAGUGACGGUAACUACCCAGAAAGGGACGGCUAACUACGUG